GGGCGAGUGGCGAAAUCGGUACACGCACAACACUUAAAAUGUUGCAGUCGAAAGACUAUGAGGGUUCGAGUCCCUCCUCGCCCA
rnacentral:tRNA from 1 species